rnacentral:rRNA from 1 species
GUCCACGCCCUAAACGAUGGAUACUCGAUGUCGGGUCGCAAGGCCCGGUGUCCAAGCUAACGCGUUAAGUAUCCCACCUGGGGAGUACGAUCGCAAGGUUGAAACUCAAAGGAAUUGACGGGGGCCCGCACAAGCAGUGGAGCAUGUGGUUCAAUUCGAUGCAACGCGAAGAACCUUACCUGGGUUUGAAAGGCCAGUGACACCCGAUGAAAGUCGGUCUUGUAGCAAUACACACUGGUACAGGUGCUGCAUGGCUGUCGU